rnacentral:rRNA from 1 species
UACAGAGGGGGCAAGCGUUGUUCGGAAUUACUGGGCGUAAAGGGCGCGUAGGCGGCCUUCUAAGUCGAACGUGAAAUCCCCGGGCUCAACCCGGGAACUGCGUCCGAUACUGGGAGGCUUGAAUCCGGGAGAGGGAUGCGGAAUUCCAGGUGUAGCGGUGAAAUGCGUAGAUAUCUGGAGGAACACCGGUGGCGAAGGCGGCAUCCUGGACCGGCAUUGACGCUGAGGCGCGAAGGCGUGGGGAGCGAACGGG